rnacentral:rRNA from 1 species
UACGUAGGUGGCAAGCGUUGUCCGGAAUUAUUGGGCGUAAAGCGCGCGCAGGCGGUCCUUUAAGUCUGAUGUGAAAGCCCACGGCUCAACCGUGGAGGGUCAUUGGAAACUGGGGGACUUGAGUGCAGGAGAGAAGAGUGGAAUUCCACGUGUAGCGGUGAAAUGCGUAGAGAUGUGGAGGAACACCAGUGGCGAAGGCGGCCAGCUGGGCCGUCCCUGACGCUGAGGUGCGAAAGCGUGGGGAGCAAACAGG